CAGGCUCCGGUCAGCAUCAGGGGGAAUACAAGGAGACCCAGUGAACGUGCUAAUUCUUUCUUUAAAAAAAAUAAUAAAAAUACAAAUACUCCAACCAUAUAGAAAUGCAGCGGAUAAUGAGGGCAAUACAUAAUAACAGUAGUGAAAGCAAACAAAGAAAAAAAAAAGAUAAAUAAAUCAGAUUUGUUUAAUAUUUAUUUCAAACUUGCACAUGAUACAAACGUUUGCCAGCAAAUCUUACAGAUAAAUGUAUAGUUGGUACAACACAAGAUAAGAAGAGGAAGGAAAUACAAGCUAAAUUUCAUGCUAGGGGUUAAUGCAUGACAUAAAAACAAUAUAAAAUGACUAAUUCACCGCUGAAAAGAUUAAUGUUUAUUAAAAGUGGGUCAUCUAUAUCGUAGAAAUGUGAAAUAAUAUUUGAAGCAAGUGUCUUCUUCGCCGAGAAAGUAAAAAUGUAUGUAUGGAUGAACGACAACUCCCAGAAUGCACUGCUCUCGCUGCCCAGCAAGCCCACUCCUGAUACAGCCAUAGGCCACACCCACUGCUUCCAGAAUGUAGUCGGAGCACAAGCCGUGUAAACAUUAACAUUCCCGUGACGAAUCCAUUGGCACAUUCAACUUGUAAACUACUCGCGUUUUCUAACGAUAUGGUGCUAACUUGCAUUGUAAUGGGAUGUAAAUCUCGACAAUCGAAAGGAACAACUGUAAGUUUCCACCAUUUACCGGUUAGAGAGCCGGAGCGGUGCAAACAGUGGCUGCGGGCUAUAAACCACCCGAAGUUUGGGGAGGACACUGACACGGGGAAACUGCAAACCCCGAGGAUUUGCAGUCGCCAUUUCAAGCAGGAAGACUUCGAACCAAAUAUCUUUGGAGUGAGAAAAAACACUCUGACAGAAACCGCAAUUCCGUCUGUAUUCACCAUCGACAUUGUCCCAGAUAAACAGCGCGGGUCAUCUAAGCGCAUGCGCCCAGAGGUGACUGACGAAAACUCGUCUCUGACUACAUGUUAUACAGUUUGAUAUGUUGUCGGCAGUAACGCAGCACAUUUAUCAUAACGCAUCUAGUUUAAGUAACGUUUGAUGGUCAAUUACAUACAAGUUGUAUCCAAGUUCGCCUUUAGCAAAGUAAGUGUUUGUGUUCACUGCACUUCGCAGAGGACUGCUUCUUAAACAAGCCACGGUUUAUUUAUGGAUAUUGUCAGCGGUUAGUCCUCAAAUAUGGCUCAGUUCCAACUAUGUGUGAUCCUUCAGUGAAUAUAGGAGACCCAGGAACACAGCUUAUGAGUAAUCUUUAUCGUUCGUGCAGUCGUUGUUUGAAACAAUCACGUUUACAUAGUUAUUAAGCUGGAGCUCAGCGUUAACCUCGGCUAACCGGUUAAUGGACGUUAUAGUGUAACAUUUAAUCAAAUAUAGGUUAUAAUAUAGGAUCGGUUUGUUUCCUCUGCCAACGAUGUCUGAACUGUAUCCUGCUGUAACAUAGUUUGUACCUGUAUGCGCUAACGGUGUCGACCGGUUGUUUACCCGUGGAUGUGGUCAGGUAGGCGGGCGGGUCCGGUUCCGCUGGAUCACUGUCACUGGCUUCUCGCUCGUCGCUGUUGACUCCGGGUAACAUGAUGUUACUCCGCUAGUUCUUAAUGUUACUAACAUCAAGAACUAGCCAGGCAAACCAGACCUAUAUCAAGAUGUUUGGUCUGGCCACACACAUUUGGCAGGGCGGUUGUCUUUCGAAUUCCCCCUGCACGCAAUAGGAUAGCGCUACAACCAAUAAGAGCAACGAAGAAGGUGACGUAGUCAGAGCGACGGAAAUAGUCCAUGGGCAAGAUAUUUGCUACCGCGAAUGUUGCCAUCCCACCAGGAAGUUUACUUCGAGAGCUCCACCUUAGCUCCACCAUGUCCCUAUAAAAUGCCAGAGUGCAGGCGAGGGAGGAAGAGCGGUAUUAUGUCAACGCGGAGGGACAAAUGUGCUGUUCGUGGCUGCACAGUGGAGCACAGUGUUUUACACAAACUUCCAGCCUCAGAGGAUUUGCGUGUCCAGUGGAUGCAUUUUAUGUAUGAAGAAAAUGUGCCGAAUAAAGUCAGCAAACGUGUGUUCGUGUGUUCGCACCACUUCCCAUCAGACUGUUUUUUGAACCUUGGUCAAUACAAUUCUGGACUGACCAGAAGAUUGAAUCUGAAAAGGGGAUCAGUACCAACUGUUCGUGGACAGACCGCAGUGGAGCAAACUCAAUCUCAACCACCAACAAGAGAGACACUAAGCCAGCCUCGCAGCAUCCAGAAAGCCACCUGCGAAGUUGGAUGUCAGACGGAUCGCAUCCCAGGGAAAAGAUCUGUGGCCACACAGCUGUCUAAGUUGACAUUAACCAACUAUAGAAGUGCAGGAUGCCAAGCCACUGUGGCCACAAGGAGUAUUGCUGUGGGCAAUAUCAUAACUCCGUCUCCUCCACUAUCUUCAACUUCCGUAAAGCGGAAAGCAGUAUCGCCUGAUGACCGACCAGCAAAGCAUCCUCUCUUGGAAUUGCCAUCUUUUCCAGAAUCUGUAACCACUACCAUCUUAGUAGAUCCUGAUGAGCCCACACAACUCCCCAGUAUGUCUGAAUUGGAGAAGACUGCCAGUGAACAAGCACCAACCAAGCCACCGCAAGACAUGGUGAAGUACUUGGUGUAUGACGAUUGCCUGUUGGAGCUUUUUAAACGCUGCCCCAUAUGCUCAAGUGUUUGCACAGUGCAAUCAUACACAAAAGGGACAUUCAUUUCUGUGACACAGAAGUGUCUCCAUCAGACAUGUCUAUACACCAGGCAGUGGAAGAGUCAACCACUUCUGGGCAGCACUCCAGCAGGAAACCUGCACCUGUCAGCUGCUGUCCUCUACACAGGAUCUUCUUUUGUUCAAACCAAAAGGGUGCUCAAUACUAUGCAUCUGAGAACCUUCUCCAGAAAGAUGCAUCAAAAUCAUGUGGACAACUACAUUCUGCCAUCCGUGCUGCAUAAAUGGCGUUCACAUCAAACCAGUCUACUUCAAGAGCUGAAACGGGGGCCAACUGUAACUCUUGGUGGUGACAUUAGGGCCAACAUCCCAGGCCGUUGCACAAAGUAUGGCUCAUACUCCAUGAUGGAUCUGAACUCAAACAAAGUUGUUGAUAUCCAACUCGUACAGAGCAAUUUAGUGGGAAGCAGUGUCCACAUGGAAAAGGAAGGGCUGAUCCGGAGUCUGGAAUUACUUGAAAGAUCUGGUGUGAAUGUGACUUCACUGGUGACGGACAGACGCACUUGGGUUGAACAAUUAAUCCAGGAGCAGAAACCAGACAUUGACCACUUUUAUGACGUGUGGCGUUUAUGUAAAGCCAUAAUCAAGAAGGUGGAUGCCAUUUCCAAGGAGAAAGACUGCCGCAUGAUCAAAUCAUGGCAAAAGAGCAUUGAGAAUCAUCUCUACUGGUCAGCAUCCAGUUCAUCCAGUGAAGAGGAAACCGUGGCAAAGUGGACAUCUCUACUCAACCACAUGCAGAAUGUGCACAUUCACGAAAAUCCACUCUUCCCUAAGUGCCUCCACCCACCUUCCACUCACAAAAGGAAGUGGCUGAAGCCUGCAACAAAGCCUACCUACAAGCUGAAGAAAGUGCUGAUGAACAAGCAUGUUCUUAGCUGUGUGAAAAGGCUGAGCCCUCUCUACCAAACUCCUGUCUUAAAGGGGUUCCGCAGCAUGAUUCCAAGAUUCGCACCAAAAAGUCUGGCCUUCUCAUACUUAGAAAUGCUCUGCAGGCUUUACCUUGCUGCAUUGCAUUUCAACGAAAAUUCAAUGCUAACCCAAGCAAAUACUGCAGCUGGGGAGGACACGGUUCAGGACAAGGACAAGAAAAAAGAUCAUGCGUCCACAGAAUAUGUUGCAGAGCUCAUGAACCUCCUUUUUAACGAGGUCAUACACAACCCUGCACCAUUUGUGGCUGAGCUGAAAGAAGUGGCUUUCCCUGGAUUACUGUGCUCACAGUUUGUGCAAUCUGAGACGGCAGAGGCUGUUGCAGGCCACGUGUCGACUUUCGGCUGCUCAGAUGAUGACUUGACGCCCACCUAAACCCACAAUCCUUUUCCUCAACAGCAACUGUCCGCCAACAUAUUUCGGUGUCUUUCCUCCAACUUACUGUUCAUCCUGUGAGUUCCCUGCCUCAGCCUAGAGAUGGGCUAGAGAUUAGAGCCUCAGCACCUUCCUUUAAAAAAGAAGAGCAGGAAUCCAAAAGAUGACAGACGCAUGACAGUUGGAGUGAUCAACAUGCAGUCCGCCUCAAACAAUUCUGUCUUAAUGGAGGGACCAGGACCUUUUUCACAAGUGAACCAAGUGGCUCCUUGGGUGUGGAGAACUCUCCCCCCAAACAUUUUAACUUGUUUAAUAUUUAAAUAAUGUUGAGUGUUGAAAUAAAAACAAAUAACUUCA